rnacentral:rRNA from 1 species
AUACGUAGGUGGCAAGCGUUGUCCGGAUUUAUUGGGCGUAAAGCGAGCGCAGGCGGUUUCUUAAGUCUGAUGUGAAAGCCCCCGGCUUGACCGGGGAGGGUCAUUGGAAACUGGGAGACUUGAGUGCAGAAGAGGAGAGUGGAAUUCCAUGUGUAGCGGUGAAAUGCGUAGAUAUAUGGAGGAACACCAGUGGCGAAGGCGACUCUCUGGUCUGUAACUGACGCUGAGGCUCGAAAGCGUGGGGAGCAAACAGGAUUAGAUACCCUGGUAGUCCACGCCGUAAACGAUGAGUGCUAAGUGUUGGAGGGUUUCCGCCCUUCAGUGCUGCAGCUAACGCAUUAAGCACUCCGCCUGGGGAGUACGGCCGCAAGGCUGAAACUCAAAUGAAUUGGCGGGG